CAGCAGCCGCGGUAAUACAGAGGGCGCAGGCGUUAAUCGGAGUUACUGGGCGUAAAGGGCGCGUAGGCGGUUAUUUAAGUGAGUUGUGAAAUCCCUGGGCUUAACCUAGGAACUGCAACUUAUACUGGAUAGCUGGAGUACUGUAGAGGGUAGUGGAAUUUCCGGUGUAGCGGUGAAAUGCGUAGAGAUCGGAAGGAACACCAGUGGCGAAGGCGGCUACCUGGACAGAUACUGACGCUGAGGCGCGAGAGCGUGGGGAGCAAACAGGAUUAGAUACCCGCGUAGUCCCUGUCUCUUAUAC
rnacentral:rRNA from 1 species